rnacentral:lncRNA from 1 species
CUUGGUAACUCUGUGUAUCAGUUACUGCUUAAUUAGUAACAUAGAAUCACCAUAAGUAUUAGAGAAUAGGAAGUAUACCUUACCCAAUUGUGAGUGGACCUGGGGAACAAAACAUCCAAAAAGGAUCAGAGAAAAGGCAUUCGCACAGGUGAAUCAGUGUCGGGUAGGUGCAGGGUUGGAGCCUGCAGGAAGCUAGGCAUGUCCAGCCACUGGAGUGGACUGUGAAGAGGCUGGUGUAGAAGUCUAUGAAAGAUUGCUGGCUCUUUGUAGGUAUUGCUUCUGUGAGAUUUCAGUGAAGCAUCUGGUGCUAGGCCUGGAGUGGCUGUUGGACCCCAGUCAGGAGGAAGACCAGGACUUGGGUUGGAGAAAACCAGAAGAGACAGAUGAAGCUCCCUCUUAAGAUGCAUUUGACUCAGAUUGAAUUAUACCACCAGCUUUCCUUGUUCUCCAGCUUGCAGACAGCAGAACUUGGGACUUCUUGCCCUUCACAACUGCAUUUGUCACCAUGGAGCAUGGCUCUGAUCCCACCACUUCCCUGCUCUGGACUCCCCAGGACUUUUGGAUAAAAAUUACACUUGGUGCAGUGAAAUGAUCACACUAUGCGAGACACCUGGAAGCUGAAACCAACUGAGAGAACAUCAGUUUCAGGACACCCAGCUUAUACUCACUCUGCGGAGUUGUGUGAAGCCCUGAGAGACAGACACUGUGUACUGCAAGGAAACAUCAGACGCCAGAAGAGAAAACAGGAGAGCUGCCACGAAAAGGAUGGCAAAUCUGGGCUGCCUUUUGCAACAUCUGUUGGGAGUCGACAAACUGCCUGGUGAUGGGCAGCCUGGAUUAUACUGAUCAGCUGCAGUGCCAGCUCCUGACCAUGGGGAGAUUGGUUUCCAGGUCUGCUGGGCUGGUGCCGAGAACAUAGAAAAUUCUUGGAGCAGGAGAAGGCAAAUAGUUUUGGAUGUGCUUGGCA